UGGGGAAUUUUGGACAAUGGGCGAAAGCCUGAUCCAGCAAUGCCGCGUGUGUGAAGAAGGCCUUCGGGUUGUAAAGCACUUUUGUCCGGAAAGAAAUCCUUGGCUCUAAUACAGUCGGGGGAUGACGGUACCGGAAGAAUAAGCACCGGCUAACUACGUGCCAGCAGCCGCGGUAAUACGUAGGGUGCAAGCGUUAAUCGGAAUUACUGGGCGUAAAGCGUGCGCAGGCGGUUUGCUAAGACCGAUGUGAAAUCCCCGGGCUCAACCUGGGAACUGCAUUGGUGACUGGCAGGCUAGAGUAUGGCAGAGGGGGGUAGAAUUCCACGUGUAGCAGUGAAAUGCGUAGAGAUGUGGAGGAAUACCGAUGGCGAAGGCAGCCCCCUGGGCCAAUACUGACGCUCAUGCACGAAAGCGUGGGGAGCAAACAGGAUUAGAUACCCUGGUAGUCCACGCCCUAAACGAUGUCAACUAGUUGUUGGGGAUUCAUUUCCUUAGUAACGUAGCUAACGCGUGAAGUUGACCGCCUGGGGAGUACGGUCGCAAGAUUAAAACUAAUGAAUUGACGGGGUCAUAGCUGUUUCCU
rnacentral:rRNA from 1 species